rnacentral:rRNA from 1 species
AAUAUUGGACAAUGGGGGCAACCCUGAUCCAGCCAUGCCGCGUGUGUGAAGAAGGUCUUCGGAUUGUAAAUAACUUUAUGUUGGAAGGUAGGGCUUGAGGUAACGACCCUGAAGUUUUCAAGUUCCCAAUUUAUGAAACACCGGCUAACGCUGUGCCAGCAGCCGCGGUAAUACAGAGGGUGCAAGCGUUAAUCGGAAUUACUGGGCGUAAAGCGCGCGUAGGUGGUUCAGUAAGAUGGGUGUGAAAUCCCCGGGCUUAACCUGGGAACUGCUUUCAUAACUGCUGAGCUAGAGUACGGUAGAGGGUAGUGGAAUUUCCUGUGUAGCGGUGAAAUGCGUAGAUAUAGGAAGGAACACCAGUGGCGAAGGCGACUACCUGGACUGAUACUGACACUGAGGUGCGAAAGCGUGGGGAGCAAAC